rnacentral:rRNA from 1 species
UACGUAAGGUGCAAGCGUUGUCCGGAAUUAUUGGGCGUAAAGAGCUCGUAGGCGGUUUGUUGCGUCGGCUGUGAAAUCCCGAGGCUCAACCUCGGGUCUGCAGUCGAUACGAGCAAACUAGAGUGUUGCAGGGGAGACUGGAAUUCCUGGUGUAGCGGUGAAAUGCGCAGAUAUCAGGAGGAACACCGGUGGCGAAGGCGGGUCUCUGGGCAACAACUGACGCUGAGGAGCGAAAGCGUGGGGAGCGAACAGG